rnacentral:lncRNA from 1 species
UUGAGUUGCUAGUAAUAACUUUCAAUUAUUCAGUUAAUCAUGUUUCCUCUAUAUAUGUGACUCAGCUUUUCAGGUGUAUUCCACAUUGUCUCUACUAGUGAACUAGGAUAAUCCAUUGUGUAUCUCACCCUCCUUCACUACCCUGUGAAAGUCACAUGUGAGAAGAAGCAUCACAGAUGAUUCCAUGGGGAACAUCCCGGAAGUUCUCCAAAUGAGUGGAUUGUUUUCUUGCUUCGUCUUUCCCAUGAUUAUCCAAUGCCUACUCUCAAAGAAGCCCUCCAAAUCUUUGAUAUCAAUAGUCAACAUUCCUGAGGUUGCAGGCCUCCUGUGUUAUUUUGAAUACAUUGCUUCCACUUUGUGCCUUUACGGAAAGAAAAAUUUAGAAACACGCCUCUGUAUUUUGCUCUUGUGAGCAACUUGGGGAGACAGUUAAAAGGUUGAGCAUGAAUGGCUCCUCCUUGCUGGAAAGAUGUCUAUAUGCCUUAUCAACAGUGGGUAAGCCAGAUCAUCUUGCCAUAUAUAAGACACGCAUGAGUCAUCAACACCUUAUCCAGGAAGACACAAUUACAGUUUGAUCCACUCUGUAAAAAUUCUUCAGGAUACAGAGGACAUGCCAGCU